GAAGAGCCAUAUACAUAUGGUGAUGCGGAACCCCAAGGUAUCAUAUUCUGAAACUCCAAAUACAUAAGUGAUAGAGAACAAAAAGAAGAUGAAGAUUUCCUUAUCUAUUGAACCUGCAAAUAACUAAUACAAACGAAAAUGUAAAUAAUUGGUUGAUUAAGAAAUCAAGAACAAAAAUAUACUGGUAUGCAAAUACUUUGAUAAAGAUCGACUUCUAGAUGCAAUAGAGAUUCAAGUCAAACCUUGAUGAAGAGUAUUAAACUCAAUAUGGUUUUUGAUGUAGACAAUUAUAUCCACUCAAG
rnacentral:lncRNA from 1 species